rnacentral:rRNA from 1 species
GAUGAACGCUGGCGGCGUGCCUAAUACAUGCAAGUCGAGCGAACAGACGAGGAGCUUGCUCCUCUGACGUUAGCGGCGGACGGGUGAGUAACACGUGGAUAACCUACCUAUAAGACUGGGAUAACUUCGGGAAACUGGAGCUAAUACCGGAUAAUAUAUUGAACCGCAUGGUUCAAUAGUGAAAGACGGUUUUGCUGUCACUUAUAGAUGUAUCCGCGCCGCAUUAGCUAGUUGGUAAGGUAACGGCUUACCAAGGCAACGAUGCGUAGCCGACCUGAGAGAGUGAUCGGCCACACUGGAACUGAGACACGGUCCAGACUCCUACGGGAGGCAGCAGUAGGGAAUCUUCCGCAAUGGGCGAAAGCCUGACGGAGCAACGCCGCGUGAGUGAUGAAGGUCUUCGGAUCGUAAAACUCUGUUAUUAGGGAAGAACAAAUGUGUAAGUAACUAUGCACGUCUUGACGGUACCUACUCAGAAAGCCACGGCUAACUACGUG